GUACAAAGCUGCUUGAUGAUAUCAUAACUCUUAUAUCAAAAACUUAAACCUGAAACUUAACCUGGUUUUUUAACAUUGAAAUUCUAUUAAGAAAGACAAAGUCAACGUGUACCUUAACCUUGCAAGGACAGACGCAUAGACAGAAGAACUAUACGUCCAGUUUGCCUUGCAGGCAUAGCUAUAUAGUUCAAAGAAAACAUAAGACACUAUUUUAACCAACAAGAUUGUGUAUGGCCUUUGUUUCUACUGCCGA
rnacentral:lncRNA from 1 species